CUCGGCUGGAGUCGGAUGGCACAUACCUCCAAUCCCGGCACUCGGAAGGCAGAGGCGAAAGGACCAAGAAUUCAAGAAGAAAGAGAACCAUGAAGUGCACUGAGCAGCCCUAACAGUGGAGAAGGGGCUAAGGAGAAGGCUCCCUGGGAAAAGGCAGCUGACACCCAAGCCUGACGCCCUGAAUUCACUCCCCAGGAUCCACAGUGAAAGCAGAGAAACAGUCAUGUGACCUACACACACACACUGUGGCUUGUACACACACGAAUAAUAGUGUAUUAAAUUAUAUAAAUACCCAGUUCAUUAUUAAAACAAAAAACUAAACUAAAAUGUCCACUUAAGUAUAAAUACAAAGGCUCUGUAUUUUUUCAGUGCCCCCAGAACUUCUAGAACAACGCCUGCCAACUAAAACACCUACUAUGAAUUUAGUAAUGGGUUAC